CUACGUGCCAGCAGCCGCGGUAAUACGGAAGGUCCGGGCGUUAUCCGGAUUUAUUGGGUUUAAAGGGAGCGUAGGCUGGAGAUUAAGUGUGUUGUGAAAUGUAGACGCUCAACGUCUGACUUGCAGCGCAUACUGGUUUCCUUGAGUACGCACAACGUUGGCGGAAUUCGUCGUGUAGCGGUGAAAUGCUUAGAUAUGACGAAGAACUCCGAUUGCGAAGGCAGCUGACGGGAGCGCAACUGACGCUUAAGCUCGAAGGUGCGGGUAUCGAACAGGAUUAGAUACCCUGGUAGUCCGCACAGUAGACGAUGGAUGCCCGCUGUUGGUACCUGGUAUCAGCGGCUAAGCGAAAGCAUUAAGCACUCCGCCUGGGGAGUACGACCGCAAGGUUGAAACUCAAAGGAAUUGACGGGGGCCCGCACAAGCGGUGGAGCAUGUGGUUUAAUUCGAAGCAACGCGAAGAACCUUACCAGGUCUUGACAUCCC
rnacentral:rRNA from 1 species